rnacentral:rRNA from 1 species
AUUGAACGCUGGCGGCAUGCCUAACGCAUGCAAGUCGAACGGGGCAGCAAUGCCUAGUGGCGGACGGGUGAGGAAUACGUAGGAAUCUGCCCUUAAGUGGGGAAUAACCAGGGGAAACCCUGACUAAUACCGCAUGAUCUCUUCGGAGCAAAGAGGGGGACCGCAAGGCCUCUCGCUUCUGGAUGAGCCUACGUCUGAUUAGCUAGUUGGUAGGGUAAAGGUCUACCAAGGCGACGAUCAGUAACUGGUCUGAGAGGAUGAUCAGUCACACCGGAACUGAGACACGGUCCGGACUCCUACGGGAGGCAGCAGUGGGGAAUAUUGGACAAUGGGCGCAAGCCUGAUCCAGCAAUGCCGCGUGUGUGAAGAAGGCCUUCGGGUUGUAAAGGACUUUUGUCGGGGAGGAAAUCCCCAGCGCUAAUACCGCUGGGGGAUGACAGUACCUGAAGAAUAAGCACCGGCUAACUACGUGCCAGCAGCCGCCGCCG